rnacentral:miRNA from 1 species
ACAUGGAUCACUGGGAUCUUGCUAAAAUGCAGAUUCAGAUGCACUAAGUCUGGUGUGGGACCUGAGAGUCUGCAUUUCUAAUUAACUCCCAAGUGGUGCCAAU